UCAUUUAUGAUGCUUUGCAUUGAAAUAUUGGCUGAAACAUAGAUGGCAUGGCCAAGAGGGAACUAAAGGAAACACAGCAUCCACCAAGGUAAGAUUACAAUAAGAUCUUGACAAUUCCUUUUUGAAUUUCCUAGUACUUAGAUACAGCUAUGUAGAGAAGAUAUUUUCUUUGUGAUCUAUGAAAGUGAAAAGAGAGGCAUUGACAAAAUUAUCCACACAAAGUUCCCUGUAGUACUUCUUUUUGCCCCUUUUUCUUCCUUUUAAACAUUUCACUCUAAAAUUGUUGAAUUAAGAAGAAAGUGAUCCAAUGCUAACCUUGUUGAGUAUAUGUUUCAUUAUCAUAUUGAACAGAACACAAUAGCUACCCAUAUUCAUCCAAGAGCAAAGAGUGAAAACAGAAAAAAGAGAGGUGAGAGGGAAGUUGCUUUCACCAUAUCAGUCAACUUAUCUUGUAUUUAGCAAUCAAUUAAUGGCUAAUAACUAAAAACUAAAAGGUUACUGUUUGUUAUGCAGUGCUGGUUUUGGCAAACAUCCACAUCUCUGGACCACUAACCUGUGGAGCACCUUUCAAGUACUAUUUUCAUGUUAGGUAACAUGGUUUGUAUAUUAUGGCUCCUAUACAUUUUCUCAAGUUAAAAGGACUGGUGGGUGUAGCAUAAUAUUGUCAACCUUUCAUCCUACAUAGGAUAGUUCUUGAUCAUUGUUACUGUGUGAUGGAUAAGGAAGUUAUCCACAUCAAAGGUCUAUGUUAUCUACAUGCUUCACCAUAUGCAGAAACUAAGAAGCUUUUUGAACCUGCAAAUGCAAUUUUCUAAUUAUGUCCGAUUAUUCCUUCUUUUCGUCUGUUAUUUAUAUCUUUUUGCAAACAUAACCACUGCCUUUACUUUUCUGAAGAAAAGCCACGUGUUGAUUUGUGGUGAACUUCUUAAUAUAAUGACAGUAAGUUUAAGUGUUAUAUUUCUCAAGUUUUAAUUUCAGACAACUUUUUAUAAGCAAG
rnacentral:lncRNA from 1 species